rnacentral:rRNA from 1 species
CAGUCGCCACGGUAAUACGGAGGGGGCUAGCGUUGUUCGGAAUUACUGGGCGUAAAGCGCACGUAGGCGGCUUGGUAAGUUAGAGGUGAAAGCCUGGAGCUCAACUCCAGAAUUGCCUUUAAGACUGCCGAGCUAGCAGGUGAGAGAGGUAAGUGGAAUUCCGAGUGUAGAGGUGAAAUCCGUAGAUAUUCGGAAGAACACCAGUGGCGAAGGCGGCUUACUGGCUCAUACUGGACGCUGAGGUGCGAAAGCGUUGGGAGCAAACAGGAUUAGAUACCCCAGUAGUCCCUGUCUCUUAUAC